AUUGAACGCUGGCGGCAUGCCUUACACAUGCAAGUCGAACGGCAGCACGGGAGCAAUCCUGGUGGCGAGUGGCGGACGGGUGAGUAGUAUAUCGGAACGUGCCCAGUCGUGGGGGAUAACGUAGCGAAAGCUACGCUAAUACCGCAUACGAUCUAUGGAUGAAAGCGGGGGAUCGCAAGACCUCGCGCGAUUGGAGCGGCCGAUAUCAGAUUAGGUAGUUGGUGAGGUAAAGGCUCACCAAGCCGACGAUCUGUAGCUGGUCUGAGAGGACGACCAGCCACACUGGGACUGAGACACGGCCCAGACUCCUACGGGAGGCAGCAGUGGGGAAUUUUGGACAAUGGGCGCAAGCCUGAUCCAGCAAUGCCGCGUGCAGGAUGAAGGCCUUCGGGUUGUAAACUGCUUUUGUACGGAACGAAACGGCGAGCUUUAAUACAGCUUGCUAAUGACGGUACCGUAAGAAUAAGCACCGGCUAACUACGUGCCAGCAGCCGCAGUAA
rnacentral:rRNA from 1 species